GACGAACGCUGGCGGCGUGCCUAAUACAUGCAAGUAGAACGCACAGUUUAUACCGUAGCUUGCUACACCAUAGACUGUGAGUUGCGAACGGGUGAGUAACGCGUAGGUAACCUGCCUGGUAGCGGGGGAUAACUAUUGGAAACGAUAGCUAAUACCGCAUAAUAUUAAUUAUUGCAUGAUAAUUAAUUGAAAGGUGCAAUUGCACCACUACCAGAUGGACCUGCGUUGUAUUAGCUAGUAGGUGAGGUAACGGCUCACCUAGGCGACGAUACAUAGCCGACCUGAGAGGGUGAUCGGCCACACUGGGACUGAGACACGGCCCAGACUCCUACGGGAGGCAGCAGUAGGGAAUCUUCGGCAAUGGACGAAAGUCUGACCGAGCAACGCCGCGUGAGUGAAGAAGGUUUUCGGAUCGUAAAGCUCUGUUGUAAGAGAAGAACGGGUGUGAGAGUGGAAAGUUCACACUGUGACGGUAUCUUACCAGAAAGGGGCGGCUAACUACGUG
rnacentral:rRNA from 1 species